rnacentral:sRNA from 1 species
ACAUUGAGUGUGGAUAUCUUGCUCUUUAAAACAAAGUUCAUUGUUAGGGCAGUAUUGCAACAGAAUUGCCACACAAAAACCAGCUUAAGAAAUGUACAGCACUUCAAUUUUUUUAGUUGUCUCCCAGAGCUCCGUGGAAUUUCCUUUCUCUGCUUUAAUGUGCUUUUAAAAGAUAACAAGAGUAAUCCACAGACUUAAAACAUGAGCUCAGAUGCCAGCCAAGGCGUGAUUACCACUCCUCCUCCUCCCAGCAUGCCUCACAAAGAGAGAUAUUUUGACCGCAUCAAUGAAAAUGACCCAGAAUACAUUAGGGAGAGGAACAUGUCUCCUGAUCUACGACAAGACUUCAACAUGAUGGAGCAGAGGAAACGAGUUACUCAGAUCCUGCAAAGUCCUGCCUUUCGGGAAGACUUGGAAUGCCUUAUUCAAGAACAGAUGAAGAAAGGCCACAACCCAACUGGAUUACUAGCAUUACAGCAGAUUGCAGAUUACAUCAUGGCCAAUUCUUUCUCGGGUUUUUCUUCAC